CCUACCGAUUGAAUAAAGAGGUGAAAUUCUAGGAUCUUGCUCUUCGGAGUGGGAAAAUGGAUUUAAAUCUCCUUAUUUAGAGGAAGGAGAAGUCGUAACAAGGUU
rnacentral:rRNA from 1 species